ACACAAUGAGCACUCAGAAACCGCUCAAACUUCUGUGGAACGAUUAAAAGUCUUCAGACUUUUAAGUCUUCAGACUUUAAGGACCAGCGGUGGUCCUUCAACAGGUGUCCGUGCUUCAGUCCGCCAAGUCUCUCCCCCAGAGCGUGCGGGCAGCGGGGCGGAGCCGCAGGUCCUUUGACCUCGGCCGCAGGGAGCGAGCGAGUGUCGGCCCGAGAAGAGACUCCCGAGUCUUCAAAUGGAUUUUAAAAUUGAACACACUUGGGAUGGUUUUCCAGUGAAGCAUGAGCCAGUGUUUGUCAGGCUGAAUCCAGGUGAUAGAGGAGUGAUGAUGGAAGUUAGCGCUCCAUUUUUCAAUGAUCCUCCAGCCCCACUAGGAGAACCAGGAAAGCCUUUCAAUGAACUGUGGGAUUAUGAAGUUGUGGAAGCAUUUUUCUUGAAUGACAUAACUGAACAGUAUUUAGAAGUUGAACUUUGUCCCCAUGGACAGCAUUUGGUGCUUUUACUCUCUGGAAAAAGAAAUGUGUGGAAACAAGAACUUGAUCUAUCAUUCAAAGCGUCCAGAGGAGAGACAAAAUGGGAAGGUAGAGCUUAUCUUCCUUGGAGUUAUUUUCCACCAAAUGUGACAAAAUUCAAUUCAUUUGCAAUUCAUGGAUCAAAAGAUAAAAGAAGCUAUGAAGCUCUUUACCCUGUACUUCCACAUGAGCUGCAGCAAGGACAAAAACCUGAUUUCCAUCAUCUGGAAUACUUCAAGCCUUUCAAUUUUAACACACUGCUUGGAGAAGAGUGGAAACAACCAGAGUCAGACCUGUGGCUAAUAGAGAAACCUGAUGUGUAGGAGUAUAGUAGAUGACCAUAUCAAUCAUUUCUUCUCUAUACCUUUUAAGGACUGAAAUUUUCAAAAGUAAGAAAGAAAACAACUGCCAGCUGGAAGAGGAGAGGUGAGAAUUAUAUAAAGAUAUUGGUAACAGUUGGAAUAUAGAAUUACCACAACAUGGCACAGUUUACCAGUGCUGCACAGCCCUGUGACUCUCAAGUUUGAUUCUGGGGUCCAGGGCUUACUGAUGAAAGUGAAUGAUCCUUUCUUUGAUGAUCCCCAGCACUACCAGGCGAAGCAGGACUGCCUUUUGAUGGAGUAUGAAGAGUUUCCAGAUACCUCAUGCUACUCAUCCCACGUAUCUGAAAGUGCAGUGACAUGGAAAGAUGAGGUCAAAAACUGUGUGACCUGGAACUGAGAUUUUUGGAAUGAACAGUCUAUAUCUGUUGUUGAAUCGUUUUUGUUCGAACAGCAAGACUAAACAGCACCUGGAGGUGGAACUCGGCCCGCACAGACAGCACCUGGUCCUGCUGCUCUCCAACAGGGAUUCAUUUACAUAAGAGCCAAGUUCACAAUUUAAAGUCAACACUACCUGGAACCGGUGGAGUGGAAAUAUAUUUCUUCCUUGGGAAUAUUUUCCACCUGGUAUUGAUAAAAUGAAUUCGUAUGCAAUUCAUGGAUCAGGGAUUAGAAGAAUUUAUGAAGCCCUCUAUUCAACGCCACAUGAAGAGACAGAGGAUGGACAAGGCCUAACUUCCAUCGCCUUGAGUAUUUUAAACCUUUCAACUUGAAGUGGAUUAUGGGAAACAACUGGGAGAAGCCAGACUCAGAGCUGUGGAAAGAGUUUUGCUGUGAUCCUUUACCUUCUGACAACACAGGUUAUAACUCAUAACGAAAAGCACUUAACAAAUAGAACUCCAUGUACCACCACCUUUUGGCCUCAGUUGGACAGCUGAAGUAAAAUCAUUGUCUGCUACCACUGUAAACGUUCCAACAACACGCCAGCAAUAAAUCGUCUAAUUGAAC